GAUGAACGCUGGCGGCGUGCCUAAUACAUGCAAGUCGAGCGAACGGACGAGAAGCUUGCUUUUCUGAUGUUAGCGGCGGACGGGUGAGUAACACGUGGAUAACCUACCUAUAAGACUGGGAUAACUUCGGGAAACCGGAGCUAAUACCGGAUAAUAUUUUGAACCGCAUGGUUCAAAAGUGAAAGACGGUCUUGCUGUCACUUAUAGAUGGAUCCGCGCUGCAUUAGCUAGUUGGUAAGGUAACGGCUUACCAAGGCAACGAUGCAUAGCCGACCUGAGAGGGUGAUCGGCCACACUGGAACUGAGACACGGUCCAGACUCCUACGGGAGGCAGCAGUAGGGAAUCUUCCGCAAUGGGCGAAAGCCUGACGGAGCAACGCCGCGUGAGUGAUGAAGGUCUUCGGAUCGUAAAACUCUGUUAUUAGGGAAGAACAUAUGUGUAAGUAACAGUGCACAUCUUGACGGUACCUAAUCAGAAAGCCACGGCUAACUACGUG
rnacentral:rRNA from 1 species